UACGUAGGUGGCGAGCGUUGUCCGGAUUUACUGGGCGUAAAGGGAGCGUAGGCGGACUUUUAAGUGAGAUGUGAAAUACUCGGGCUCAACUUGAGUGCUGCAUUUCAAACUGGAAGUCUAGAGUGCAGGAGAGGAGAAUGGAAUUCCUAGUGUAGCGGUGAAAUGCGUAGAGAUUAGGAAGAACACCAGUGGCGAAGGCGGUUCUCUGGACUGUAACUGAUGCUGAGGCUCGAAAGCGUGGGGAGCAAACAGG
rnacentral:rRNA from 1 species